UACGUAGGGUGCAAGCGUUGUCCGGAAUCAUUGGGCGUAAAGGGCGCGUAGGUGGUUUUGUAUGUCUACCGUGAAAGCGUACGGCUCAACCGUAUUUUGUCGGUAGAAACUGCAGGACUUGAGGCUGGGAGGGGCUGGCGGAAUUCCCUGUGUAGCGGUGAAAUGCGUAGAGAUGGGGGAGAACACUCGUGGCGAAGGCGGCCAGCUAGACCAGUUCUGACACUGAGGCGCGAUAGCGUGGGGAGCAAACAGG
rnacentral:rRNA from 1 species